rnacentral:lncRNA from 1 species
UGGAUGAAUAUCGAAAUAUUUUAUUGUCGAAAAAAAAAUGUGGCGAAUAUUAGAUUUGAGAAAUAUAAAUAUUUCAUUGUAAUUCUCACUUCAAGAAUUCAUAUAUUUACGAAAUUUUAAACUUUUUGCAGAAAGUUAUGCAAGCCAAUUUUGCUAAAUAAUUUUUACAUAAAUUUUAAAAUUGUUACAAUUUUUAUUUGAGAUUACCGACCAAAACACUAGUCCAGUUUAUUUUUAAUCAACAUAUUAUACAUUCGUGUUCUUAUUAUGUUUUCCAAUGAUGUCAGAGACACAACAGCACAAAGGCAAAAAAUAAGCAAAAGAAAUAAAGAAAAAUAAUUAGAGAAAAGAAUAUGAAAUUAUAUAUAUUUCCUUAGUACAAUCAUCAAAUGAAUGAUAUUUCUUUUUUUUCUUUUAUCUAAGAUAAAUCACUUCUUUUCUUUAUCAAGUAUAUCUAUUUCACAUUUUAUACGUUUCUUCUUAUGAAAAUUCUCAAUUGUAUCUACUAUUCCACAGUCGUUACAGCAAAUUAGAGACUAGAAUUAAUUCAUAAUUAUCGAGAACAAUCGUAAUUUAUCAUAGAAUUAAAUUUUCGUGUCAAUUCAAGGAUGAACAAUUCUCAAAUUUUCAUUCUUAUUUCUUAAAAUUAAUUUUUGACAGCUCGCCUCAUCUCUCGACUCGCAGAUAAAUUAACAAACAUAAAUUUCUUUUUUUUCUUUAAUGGCCGACGUGAAAGAUGAAAGGCUUUCCGCGUAACCUUCCAUCUCGAGCACACCCUUCGCGGUAGUUUCACCCUCUUUUCGUACCGCCCCUUCUAUUCCCAAUGUGAGCGUUUCAUCAAGGGUUAUAUCGAACAGCAGAGGGUGUAACCAUGGAUACGCGAGCAGCCAUGUUGGUCCAGAGGCGUGAAAGGCACACGGGAUGGAAAAUUCGAUAAUUUCCACCCCGAAAUGGCGAAGUCUCCUCGGUGAAAGAAUUUUUAAACAAUUUCCACUCCAAAAUUUUUCUCCGCGCCUUCAAAUAUUUUUAAAAUAUUUAUUACUCGUAAAAGGAAUAAAGAAGUAGUUUAAAAGAAGAAAGAAAAAUAUUAAGUAUGACGCAUAUAUCGUUUUAUCCGUAUCAAAGAGAAACGAAAGAUUAUUUAUUUAAAUUAAAUUUAUGUUUGUAUUGUUAGAAAAUAAUCUUUCACUUAUUUCCCUCGAAUUUAUAUUUAUAAUAACUCGAUCUCAACACUUUGAACACGCACUUUGAUAUCCAUUGUAAAAAUACGAAUAUUUACGGGGAUAAGCGUGGAUAAAAAUGUUGACACAACACGGCGUCCAACUGAAUCACGGAAUCGAAGCAAACUGGUAGCGGAGAGAAUCGAGAACGAAAACGAAGCCUGAAGAAAGAGAGAGAAAGAAAAAGGUUAAAAAAGGUAAUAAAACGAAGGCGAAACCGUGGCUAAAAGUUUUUAGAUAUAACGCAAAGAAGUGGUAGUAGAGGUUAGGUAGAAGAGGUUAGAGUAUCAAGACGUGUUUCGAAUUCCUUCGAAACGAAAGGAUUUCAGAUGAAUGGGUCCGAGAGUUAUGCCUUUAUUGCACCCAUGUAUGUAUUAUUUUCAAAAAAUUGUCGAACGAAAGAUGCAGCUGUCCUGAAAGGAGUCCUGAAAAAAAAAAA